AGCGAACGCUGGCGGCAGGCCUAACACAUGCAAGUCGAACGGACCUUUCGGGGUUAGUGGCGGACGGGUGAGUAACACGUGGGAACGUGCCUUUAGGUUCGGAAUAGCUCCUGGAAACGGGUGGUAAUGCCGAAUGUGCCCUUCGGGGGAAAGAUUUAUCGCCUUUAGAGCGGCCCGCGUCUGAUUAGCUAGUUGGUGAGGUAAUGGCUCACCAAGGCGACGAUCAGUAGCUGGUCUGAGAGGAUGACCAGCCACAUUGGGACUGAGACACGGCCCAAACUCCUACGGGAGGCAGCAGUGGGGAAUCUUGCGCAAUGGGCGAAAGCCUGACGCAGCCAUGCCGCGUGGAUGAUGAAGGUCUUAGGAUUGUAAAAUCCUUUCACCGGUGAAGAUAAUGACUGUAGCCGGAGAAGAAGCCCCGGCUAACUUCGUGUCAGCCGCCGCAGUAAUAC
rnacentral:rRNA from 1 species